UUGAACGCUGGCGGCAUGCCUUACACAUGCAAGUCGAACGGCAGCACGGGGGCAACCCUGGUGGCGAGUGGCGAACGGGUGAGUAAUACAUCGGAACGUGUCCAUGUAGUGGGGGAUACCGUAGCGAAAGCUACGAUUAAUACCGCAUACGAAUCUGAGGAUGAAAGCGGGGGAUCCUGCAAGGACCUCGCGCUACAUGGGCGGCCGAUGGCAGAUUAGGCUAGUUGGUGGGGUAAAGGCCUACCAAGCGACGAUCUGUAGCUGGUCUGAGAGGACGACCAGCCACACUGGGACUGAGACACGGCCCAGACUCCUACGGGAGGCAGCAGUGGGGAAUUUUGGACAAUGGGCGCAAGCCUGAUCCAGCAAUUCCGCGUGCAGUGAUGAAGGCCCUUCGGGUUGUAAAUGCCUUUUGUCCGGAAAGAAAAGGCCUCGUGGUUAAUACCCGUGGGGUAUGACGGUACCGUAAGAAUAAGCACCGGCUAACUACGUGCCAGCAGCCGCGGUAAUACGUAGGGUGCAAGCGUUAAUCGGAAUUACUGGGCGUAAAGCGUGCGCAGGCGGUUCUGCUAAGACAGGAUGUGAAAUCCCCGGGCUUAACCUGGGAACUGCAUUUGUGACUGCAAGGCUGAGAGUAGGGCAGAGGGGGGUAGAAUUCCAGCGUGUAGCAGUGAAAUGCGUAGAUAUGUGGAGGAAUACCGAUGGCGAAGGCAAUCCCCUGGGCCAUGCACUGACGCUCAUGCACGAAAGCGUGGGGAGCAAACAGGAUUAGAUACCCUGGUAGUCCACGCCCUAAACGAUGUCAACUAGGUUGUUGGUCAUUCAUGGUCUUAGUAACGUAGCUAACGCGUGAAGUUGACCGCCUGGGGAGUACGGCCGCAAGAUUGAAACUCAAAGGAAUCGACGGGGACCCGCACAAGCGGUGGAUGAUGUGGAUUAAUUCGAUGCAACGCGAAAAACCUUACCUACCCUUGACAUGUAUGGAACCUGCGCAGAGAUGUGCAAGGUGCCCGAAAGGGAGCCAGAACACAGGUGCUGCAUGGCUGUCGUCAGCUCGUGUCGUGAGAUGUUGGGUUAAGUCCCGCAACGAGCGCAACCCUUGUCCCUAGUUGCUACGCAAGAGCACUCUAAUGGGACUGCCGGUGACAAACCGGAGGAAGGUGGGGAGGACGUCAAGUCCUCAUGGCCCUUAUGGGUAGGGCUACACACGUCAUACAAUGGUCGGUACAGAGGGUCGCCAACCCGCGAGGGGGAGCCUAAUCCCAUAAAACCAGUCGUAGUCCGGAUCGUAGCUCUGCAACUCGACUGCGUGAAGUCGGAAUCGCUAGUAAUCGCGGAUCAGCAUGCUCGCGGUGAAUACGUUCCCGGGUCUUGUACACACCGCCCGUCACACCAUGGGAGUGGGUUUUAGCCAGAAGUAGCUAGUCUAACCGCAAGGAGGACGAUUCACCACGGUAGGAUUCGUGACUGGGGUG
rnacentral:rRNA from 1 species